rnacentral:tRNA from 2 species
GCGGUUGUGGCGGAAUGGCAGACGCGCUGUCUUCAGGCGGCAGUGAUUAAUUAUCGUGCGGGUUCAACUCCCGCCAACCGCACCA